CGCGUUUUACAGCUGUUUCACAGUUGUGCAGCCAUUGCAAGACUAGGCAUGUUACACGAUUUGAGAGUCAUUGGAGUUUCAGGAUCUUCAGUAUUUAGAGUUUUAUGUUCACUGUUUUUAUUUAAAGGGAUGGAGUCGUUCAAAUCGUGAUUUACUCUUAUAAUAUUUAAACAUUUAUGGUUCACAUUUGGCUACGAACUGGACUGGAGAACUGUUAUGCUCUUAAAUCUUGCAAAAUGCCAUAAAAUACCCAAGCAAGGAAAUGCUGCCAAACCGGCUGACUAAGCUGGCCAAAAAUAAUAUAAAACAUUUGUUGUUCUUGCUCGCCGGCCAUUUGCAUAACAGAAACAAUAAAAACAGCAACCUCAAAGAUUAAAAACCGAAUGAAACGAAAUUUAUAAAUUGAUUUCGAGCGCGACUAAAAAUAAAGCCAAAAGUUAAAAGCCAUGAGCCGAGUGACGGGGAAAAGCUGUGGGGAUUGAAAUCAGGAUUUUUGGAAUGAGCAAAUACUGCAGUUUCGGUUCUGGAGCAAAAAAGGUAAGCGGCAAAAGUUAUUCACAACUUGGGGUGACAAUGAAUUUUUAUACAAGUAAG